UCGUCAACAUUCAAAUCCGGCUAACUUACUUAGCGAGGUACGAAGAACAGGCCCCAGGUUACCCCCGCUUUCUCCUUUAUGUUAAUCGCGCAUUUUUCAAUUGAUCCAUUUUACAAAGUCCCAUAGUUCCAGUUUGCGGCUCUGGGACUGAAGUUUACUGAGUUUGCGCCAUGUGUCAUGAAACAGUAUGACUGAAGCUGUGUUGUAAUGAUCAGUGACAUAGUAGCGUGUAGUAUAGUCUAUCAGAGUUAGAAUACAGCUUAAUGAAUUUCCUCAAAAUUGAUUAGGACAAAUACCGCAACUCCAUUGUUACUCCAGGUCCCAAAUCGCUGCACAGUGCAUGCCUCAGCAAAAGAAAAUAAUCCCAAGAUGGAGAAUUGAAUGUGCAGUCGCAUCACACACUGUUAAUGACAACGACGAUAUUUUGAACAUUCCAAUAAUUUAUUAGGAAGUAAAAUUGGUAAAAUCUAGACGUGAGGAAAUUGUGAUGGUUGUGACCCAUAAUGCACUCUUUGGCCGAUUAUGUAAGUGUCAGAUGAUCAAAUUAACCACAGUUCACAUAGUUGUUUGUUUGGUUAUUGAAACUCGGUUCUUUUUCUUCUUCUUCCAGCUGCCACCUCUAGGGGUCGCCACAGCAGAUCAUCUGCCUCCAUCUCACCUGAUCUCUGCCGCACCAACCCUCUGCAUGGCCUUCACUACAUCCAUCAAUCUACUCUGUGGCUCUUCUCUUUACUUGCUCCUCCAUCUUCAGCAUCCCUCCUUUGCACAUCUGAACCUUGCCUCUUUGACUUCGUCUCCAACUCCUCAGUAUGAGGAAGUAAAGUCAGCCAAACACCCCGUCUUGUGAUUCAGGAACAGUAGCUGACAACUGUCAUGAUUCAGUCAGGAGUUUGGUAUUUUGCAGUUCUUUACACAAGCAAACAAACAAACGUGUCAGUAUCGCUGAUUUAAAAGACAACUUUUGAAUAUGGCCUGUCUCUCUCCACCAAAAGACGAUUAAUGUAACAUAGGUUGCACCGCUUAUUUUACAGUAUAAAACUCAAUAAAUAUUUACUCUUGUGUGGCGGACCAACACAAUUGUUUUAAACCAAAACAGCCUUAAAAAUGUACGUGAAAAUACUUAUAUAUGUUUGUCUCAUUUCCAAAUAAUAUGGAUCAACAUUCAAAAAUAAAAUUGAUAUUCAUUAACA